rnacentral:lncRNA from 1 species
UCUGAUGUGUUAGUAGGAUGUGGGUUGUCCUUUAUCCAUUGCGUUGGCAAACCUGAACUGCUGAAAAGCAGUGUUCCAGGAGCCCUCUAGAACAUUUUGACAAUGUGAAUUAUAUUCGAAUUAGCAAUCUAAGCGGCUCAGAGCCGACAAAAACUCCCAGCCAUGGAAGAGUCUUGGAAAAUCUGAUUUUGGUUCAGAGCCUGUUUAAGGGGUUCUUGUCUUCGGUGUUGCCUGACAGCUUAGGCUUCAAACUUUUCGUCAGAAAAGGAAAAUCAUUCCAGGUGUGUGGUUGAAAGUAGCCUGCUGCAAGCAGUGAAUCUAGUCUGACUCUCUUUUUUUUUACUUUUUAAAUCAUAUGAUUUUUUUUGAACUGAAUAUAUAUACUCAGUUUGUUUUAAUGUGUUUUCUCAAAAAAAAAAAAAAAAGAAAAAGAAAAUCCCUGAAAGUGAAAUUGAUGCUUCUCUUAGAAACACCAUGUUUUAUUAUGUGAAUUUAUGUUCGUCCUGGCAUGUUAUUGCAAAGGCUCAGGCCAAUGUAGAGGUUCUGUAGUUUGUACUUUCCUUGGCUUUCUAGAUAUUUUGAAUCUGAAGGUCAUUCUGGCACAAUGCAGCUCAUGAACUGGCUAUUGGUGUUUUUGUUUUGUUUGCUUUUUUGUCAGUAAAAGAGUACAGCCCACGUUUUAAAAAUUAGGAGAUCUCAUAGAUGGGUGUAGAGCUUUCAUUUCAUUUGAAUUUAGCUUCAGGGGAACCUUUGGCAGAAGCUGAGGAGCAAAUGGCCAUCUCCAGAGAGGACACCCACCCCUUCCCCCUCCCCUUCCUGGCCUUAUUUUGAGUGGCUGCACUGUUCCCACCUCCUGGCUCAGGUAGCAUUGAAAUUUGCAGCUCCCUUAGUACCUUAGCCCAGAGCCUCCACAGCUGAUGCUGGAGGUUGCUUCCAGGUGGGUUGAGAUACCAAUUCUUCUUAGACAAUUGAGGAUGAUGCGAAGGAGAUGGGGAAGCUCUGAGUUUACCUUUGUGGGAACUUCAUGGGUGGCCUGCCCUCCACCACCCCCCAAGAUGCCCAGAGGGUUGUGGGCCCAGGGAAUUUUUCACAGGAGGGCUUCCCUGUGUUUAUACCACCCUGUGGAGAAUGGUCAUCUCUUAAAGGCCUUCUGCAGAAUUAGAAGAAAUAAAGGUUCCUUACCAAGUAGAUCCUCCCUCUGAAGUCAAAGGUUUUAUGGUCAGUGAAUCAUGUCUGACUAGAAUGGAGCAGGCAAGGCAGGGAUACUUGGUAGACGUCAUAUGAUUGAAAUCAUAACUUUACAUGUAAUUCUUUGGGAAACAAUGAGGCUCCAUGAGACUUACAGUACAUGAUUGAUUUUUAGGUCUUGCCACUUGGCAGUAAACAUGCUGCAAAAAUUCCUUAAGUGUACCGUGAGUUCUUUUACCACUUUUACCCAUGAUGAAAAUGAUCAACGCUGCUAAUCACACGGGUUGCCUCAGAAGCAUGCCUAAGGACAAACACGUAAAGAGCAACAGUAAGACGGAGUGGAUGAAACUGUUCUUGUCAGUAGGUUUGACAUUUAGAGAUUUAGGAGGAUUGCUUGGCCUGAGUUUCCAAAUGAUGCUGUCGCAUAAAAUACUUGGCUGUGUUCAGUUUAAUGAUGUAUAUAUUGUCCAAUGCAUUUCCCAUCAGCAGCAGAGUAGACGUGUGAUGCAGAUUCUGUUACAUGUUAUUUUAUCUACUUAAAGACAGCCAUGCUUUGGGACAUAAAGUGGAUGUUGGGACGUAUUUCUGGUCCUCUGGGAAUCUUUUAGUUUUAACAGGCUGGGAGGCUUAUGGAAAGCCCUUGACACUUAAGUUCAGGCAUGGCCGUGCGUGAAAGACAGUGCUUUUGGAAGAUACACUCGACACGCUUGCGAUCGCUUUGCAGGAGUUUCCAAAGAUCUGAAGAUUGAUGAUCCGGUGAGAGAAAAAUCAGGGACUAGCAAGCCUCACAUACAUUCUGCACAAUUUUAGCUCUCUAAGGGGCUGACGACGAUGCUCGUUUAACAGGACGUGUUGUGAUAUAAUCACAUCCAGAUACGUGAAAUGCUAGAGCAGAUACGAAAACAUACAUUUGGGGAGUUUCGUGGUAGGCCGGUCAUUAAGGUCUCUAUAAAAUACAGUUAGAGGCCAGGAAAAUUCCUGGGGUGUGGUAUAAAGCUUUGACAUGUAGGACUUUGACCAGUGCUGCUUCAUGGAGCUAUAAUACGAGCUGCUUGAGUAAUUUUAGGAUUCCAAAUUGCCAUGUUAGAGCAUAAAAAGAAAUAGGUGAAAUUAAUUUUAAUCAUGUAUUGUAUUUAACCCUGUCUAUCUGAAAUAUUGUUCUUUCAUCACAUCAUCAAUAGAAAAUGAUAAAUGAAAGAGUCUAAGUUAUGUUUUUUUGGUAAAAGGUCUUCAGAAUGUGGUGUGUCUUAUUUCACACUUGCAGAGCAAACUGGUUGGGAACCAGCUGUGUUUCAGAUGCUCGGCAGAUGUGACUGGUCGGAUGUGGAGUAACUACCAGGAGUCUGUAGCCUUUCAUUUAUUUAUUGGCCACACUCACAACAUGUGGACGUUCUUGGGCCAGGGAUCAAAUCCGAGCCACAGCAAGACCCGAGCUGCUGCAGUGACGAUGCCAGGCCCUUAACCCAUUACACCUACACCGUCAGGGAAUUCUGUCUGUGGCUUGUCGUUUCUUCAGUUCUUUGAGUAGGGAUUGUUAUGCUGGUCCAGUUUAUCCUUUUGUGGUCAUUUUUAAAGAAAAAUUCUGAAAUCUGUGCUUUCUAAAUCCUAGAGUCCGCCUUUAUUUUUGACUAGACCAGGGACUCCGUUGGAAAGAGGAGGAAGGAAGAUGCGUACUUGUUGACUCAGUGAAUAAGAGAUGAAGGCUCAUAGGAAAAGAGUUCACGGUGUGGAUUUCCUCAUAAUUAAGGGAAUAUUCAGAUGACAUUGCAGAGGCAGCAAAAGAGAGGGUGUAGAAGUGGUUGAAAAUCAAAGUCCGACCAAUCCUGGAAUAGAUAAAUAUAAAGUCAAUAUGUUUUAGUAAAUAGAGCCAAAAAAUCUCCGUCAACAGGAAUUCUGGAUGAUGGGUUUUCAGAAUGGUCUUUAUUUCUGUAGGUUUUAGUUUACGUGGAUCAUAUUAUUAUGAAAAGUUGUCACCCACCUCCUGUUGCUUGAUUCCCUGUAAAAGAGAGUAAGACAUAUUAAUGUGUGUUUUCUGGAAAUCUUGUUGUCUUUAGUAACUAUUUCUCUUUCCUUGAAUUAGUGUAAUUUAAUAACAUAGGAUAUCCAGAGAGGUUUAUGGGGCUUUUUCUCUAAUCUCCUGGCUCCAGCAGAUUCUGUAGCCUAGUAUUAUUGCUUAGUUCUGUGUCCUUAAACCGAAGUCGUGCUUACAAUAAAGAAAAAUAAUAAUUUAAUCACAACUGCUAUUUUUUUUUGGUCUUUUUUAGGGCCACACCCUCGGCAUAUGGAGGUUUCCAGGCGAGGGAUCAAAUUGGAACUGUAGCCACCAGCCUAUGCCAUAGCCACAGCAACACAGGAUCCAAGCCGUGUCUGCCACCUACACCACAGCUCAUGGCAAUGCUGUAUCCCUAACCCACUGAGUGAGACCAGGGAUUGAACCUGCCUCCUCAUGGAUGCUGGUCAGAUUCAUUUUCGAUGAGCCACCAUGGGAACUCCAUAUAAGUACCAUUUUUAGUGUGUCCCUUGGAUUCUCUAGAUGUAACAAACAUACUGCAAGGUAGGCAUUAUUUUCGCUCUUUUUUUGGCUAUUGAAAACCUGAAUUCUAGAGUGAUUGUGACCAGGUCAUGAGCAUGUAACCUAGAAAUAGAAAAGCUGGAUUUUGAAUUCUGGUCUCUAGGAUGCUAAAUGUCAUCCAGUGUCAGUAGGUGAGUAAAGCGAUAGAAGGAAGCAUUAAUUGUCUCUGAAGAACUCUGCAGCUACUGUCCAUGGUUUUAUAAAAAUGGGAAUUUUGGGAGUUCCCAUUUUGGCACAGUGGAAAUUAACAAGACUAGUAUCCAUGAGGAUAAGAGUUCGAUCCCUGGCCUCGCUCAGUGGGUUGGGGAUCAUGCAUUGCUCUGAGCUGUGGCGUAGGUUGCAGACUGAGCUCAGAUCCCUUAUUGCUAUGGCUAUGGCUUAGGCUGGCAGCUGCAGCUCUGGUUUGACCCUUCGCCUGGGAACUUCCGUUUGCUGUGGGUGUGGCCCUUAAAAAAAAAAAAAAAAAAAA